UCUGGCUAGGGAAAGCUACCCACUCCUGCUCUUUUGCUAACUGGGCAUGUGUCCAUUCCAGUACCUUCUAAAUAACUAUGUUUAUGCUCAUUGAACAGUAAUGCUGUCAGUUUUGAUCAGAGAACUUCUUUUUGCAGUGGUCAGCAGUGACUGCAGAGAUUAGUCCAAGUACUGAGAGGAAGUGACUGCGGAGUGAUUGGUCAUCAAUGCUACAUCUUGUAUCAGGGAGGACAGGAGCAGACAGUGGGAAGAAUGGGGAGACGGAGGGAAGAUGAAGGAAUGCUCACUGGUGCCCAGACACGUCAUGGCUGUUACACUCUGAGAUGACCUCCACAAGACACACACUGAAAUCUUUAAAUUUGGAAUGGUAUACUGUCUGGAAUUCUCUCCAAAAUGAUAUAGGAGGAAAGAGAUGAAUGAAAAGAUACUUGAAAUAAGAUUGGCCAGAAAUUGGUAUUUCUUCCGAGUGCAUGGUAAAUGAUUCUUUAUGCUAUUCUGCCUACUUUUGUCCAUGCUGGAAAUUCUUCACACACAAAAAAAGUUUUAUAACAACGUUGUGGAAUUCUAAGCAUCUGAUGAAAGUCUCUGUAUUAGUCUAAAAGAGUAGACCAGAAGGAGGGGAAUUAAGAUGAGGGCUGUCUGAACAGCUCUGCGGGAGAGAGAGUGCCAGGGAAUGCAGGGGACAAAUAAAGGGUUGCUGAGCAGCUGCAAGGGCCAACUUGAAACUGGACAGCACGGAUUUAUAUUUGUCUUCCUGGUUCUCCCUCUAGCAGUGACCUGGGACUUUGGGAACAGAAAGAAAAAGAAAGGACAGUGGAUGAGGGAGUCCCUGAGGCAUUAACACUGUUACGAGUGGCUGCUGCCAGGGAGUGUGAAGUCAAGUACAGCUGGGAGAGUGUCUUGAUUUAGAGGUAGCAGGGGUGUGAUGGCUGCAGUCCCACUGAGGUCAAGGGUCAGGCCAUCAAUAGGGUGGUUAGAGUGGCUUAGAAGAGGCUCAUGUUGGUGUGUGAUAUCACUGAUCAAGAGGCUCCUGGACCCCAGUUAGACUGGACAAAGGGGCAGACUAGGAGGUUGGGGGGUGCUCUUCUUCAAAGAUCCUGGAAGGAUCUUAGACUUUGCAUGUUCUCAGAGGCCAUUAAGACAGCCCUUAGAGAUGUCUGAGGUUUUUUAUUUUCUCAUUUUAACAAAUGACAUUUCUUUGUUCUGUGUGUGUUGGGAGAACUCUACUGCAUGCCAUGGUGCUUGUGUGGGUUGCUUCUCCUUUCACCAGGCUGUUUCUGGUGAUCAGAGUCAGUCAGUCCUGGGGGACAGUUACUUUGUCUCAAUAAUUCAUCUUGCCAGCCUGCAGCUGAAGGUUCUGUUUGCUUCUUAGACAGGGUCUCACUUACUACGUAGCUCUGGCUGGGUCUGGUAGUUAGGUUGACCACCCUGGCUUAACUCUUAGAGAUCUGCCUAACUCUAACUGUGGAAUGCUGAGUUUAAGGGUGUGUGUCACCUCAUCUAAGUACUUUGUUAUUUUAAAGGAAGAAUAUGUAUUAUUAUGCACUCUUACACAUAAAAUGAAAAGAUUUUUAAAUAAUCCCUUUGUCAUCAAAUCUUUAAAUUCACCAUAAUUAUUGGUGAAAAUGUAUAGAUGAGCCAGACAUGGUGGUACACAUACUUAAUUCCAGUACAUAGGAUGCAGAGACAGACAGGAAUCUAUGAAUUUGAGGCCAACCUUGUCAAGUUAGUUUCAGGACAUCCAGUGGUGUGUAAAGACCUUGUUCCAUUCCCCCUCCCCACUGCUGGUGCUGCUGGAAAAAAAAAAACCUCCCCCAAAAGAAAGAAAACAUGGAAAAUUUUAUAAUAGUGUUGCUACCAAAAUAAGAUUUUUAAAAAAAUUUUUUUAUUACGUAUUUUCCUAAAUUACAUUUCCAAUGCUUUCCCAAAAGUCCCCC
rnacentral:lncRNA from 1 species